rnacentral:rRNA from 1 species
GGGGGGGGGCAAGCGUUGUUCGGAAUUACUGGGCGUAAAGGGCUCGUAGGUGGCCAACUAAGUCAGACGUGAAAUCCCCAGGCUUAACCUGGGAACUGCGUCUGAUACUGGAUGGCUUGAAUUCGGGAGAGGGAUGCAGAAUUCCAGGUGUAGCGGUGAAAUGCGUAGAUAUCUGGAGGAAUACCGGUGGCGAAGGCGGCAUCCUGGACCGAGAUUGACACUGAGGAGCGAAAGCCAGGGGAGCAAACGGGAUUAGAUACCCCGGUAGUCCUGGCCCUAAACGAUGAAUGCUAGGUGUGACGGAUAUCGAUCCCUGUCGUGCCGAAGCUAACGCAUUAAGCAUUCCGCCUGGGGAGUACGGUCGCAAGGCUG